GCCCCACUCCAGCAGGCUGCUCGGCGCGGGCGCGGGACAGAGGGGGACUCCAGCCCGCGCGCCGGGCCGCCCAGCCCCAGACUCGGGCUCCGCCGCCGGCCCGCCGCCCGCCCCUCCACAGCGCGGCGCGCAAGGCUCUUGUUUCGGCGGCGACGAGACUCGGGAUCCCUGAGGCGGCGGUGCCGCGGCGGCUGGUGGCUCUCCGGCACAGGGUGAGACCGAGGAGCGGGCGGCCGCGCCGGCACCGCCUCGGUCCCCACCCCCGAGUCCUUUUCCCGCUGAGCCGGACGGGAAGGGGCCGGCACGACCCGGGGCUCCCCCCACGCCUCGGGGCCGGGCUCCCGGGGGGCUGCGGCGGCGGCCGGGGGCGGCCGCGGGUCCCUCAGGUAAACGGAGCCAGCGAGGCCCCCCAGCGCGCGCCUCGGAGCGCCCGCGCGCUCUCGCGACGGCCGGGCGCGCGCGCACCACGGACGGCGCAGGCGCGCCGCGCACGCUCGGCCGAGCGCUCCGAGUCUGAGCCCAGCUUGAGGCGUGAGGUGUGAGACCUGGUAAGUCUUCAGUGAAGUUGUGCAACGGUGACAGUGUGAAGAAUGGCUUUGAAGAUGGGACAGGAGGUGUGUAACCACUGGCACUUUACCAGAGGACCUAUCCUUGCCUUUAAACAGGACACUAGAAGCACAC
ensembl:lncRNA